rnacentral:rRNA from 1 species
AUGACAAAUGCCUACAUUGUCUGUUCAAGAGAAGGGACCCACAAGCAGACUGUGUCAGAUUAUCACUGGAAAUGUUAGAAGACAUCAAAAAGGAUUGGCUGCAAGGCAAAGAUUAGAGUCAAAAAAGGAGAUGGAAAAUUUGUGAUAGAGAUGGUUGAACUCAACCACAAUCACAAGAUGCUGGAAAGCCCCGGGAUGCUUUUGCACAUGCGAUCGCACAAAAAAGACGAUCCUUUGAUAGACCAGUUAGUGAAAGACAUGCAAUUGGACAACCACACACAUGCUCAGAUGAUGUCAACGAUGUCGCGUAUGUCUGGUGGUCUGCAGUACAUGGGACAUGCUAGCUGCGACUGGGUAAACAAGUAAGCAUGUCACAGAGCAUAUCACUUGAGCAUUUUGUCAAGAAAACUUCUGGAUUUCUUCGAGAAGAUGCAGAAGAUAAACCCAGAGUUCUUCUAUGAUUAUGACGCGAACGAAAGUUGCAAAGGAUCGUAUAAAGAGUUUGGAGAUUGCGUUACAUUUGACACGACGUAUAAAACUAACAAAGUCCACAUGCCGCUGGGAGUCUUCGUGGGAGUGAACCAUCAUCUACAGAGCACCAUAUUUGUUGUUGCCCUCGUGUGAGAUGAAACAAUACUAUCAUUCGAGUGGGUUUUCAAAACAUUUCUGAGGUGUAUGAACAACAAGCCGCCAAUCUGCAUGCUCACAGACCAGUGUUCUUCGAUGAAGGCAGCAUUAAAAACUAUCCUCCCACAUACUCUGCAUAAGUUGUGUCGGUGGCAUAUCAUGAAGAAGUACAAAGACCACCUCGCCUUGCUGUAUAAGGCGCACGAGAAACUCAAGGAUGACCUCAAUGCGGUGCUGAACCACCCACUAAUGCUGUCAGAAUUUGAACGAGCAUGGAAGGACCUCAUUCAGAGAUACAACUUGCAAGACGACGAAGUGAUGAAUUCGCUGUGGGAUGACAGGCACGAGUGGAUCUCGGCUUACUACAAGGAAUUUUUUUGUGCUCGGAUGACUUCCACACAGAGAAGUGAGAGCAUGAACCGCAUACUGAAGAAAUUUUUUGUCAAAGAGAAGCAUGAUCUCCAUCAGUUUGCUUAG